rnacentral:lncRNA from 1 species
GGAGGGUCGUGGAGAACCAUGGAAGAUGUUUUGUUGUGUGAGUCUUGGGUCCAACUUGGUCAUUGCCUAAUCACGGUAUUUAGAAAAUAGAGAUUGUUGGAAUUUUUGCGAGUAUUUCAAAAUACAAAAUUAAUUUAUCUAAUUUAUGUUGAAAGUGAAAUUUUAAAUGUGUGGUUUAAUUCUAUUUAAUGAAAAUUAUAAACUACUUUCGUAUUGGUUUUGAAUAAAUUGGACAUUAAUUUGUUGUCUGUUUUGCUAUCUCCUUUAUGGUUUUAAUUGGUUUAUUUACGUUAACUUUUUGUAUGAAUUUAUUUUAUCAUUUAAAUAAGUUAAAUGCCUUAGGUUUUACAGUAGUCGUUGAAGGUUUUGAUUCCCAAGCUUUAUUGCGUGAGUUAAUUGCUUAGUUGGGAUCAGAUUUUACUAUUUUGAGCAAUAGCGUUGAGUUUUGUUCUUAAUGUGCAAAUGUGGUUUAAUUGCUUGGUUAAUAACCUAACAUUCACUGGAGUAAGUAGGCUUAUAUAUACACCAAAAAAGAAAAACAUUGGUGGGAGAUUUUUGGCACAUUUCUUCAUUAUUUUCUCCUCUACAUUCUUGAGUUUGUGUUCCAAUUUGUUUUCUUUUAUCAAGGGAAAGAUUCGAGUUGUUCAUCCGAUCCAAGUAUUGCGAGUGUAUGCAUAUGAGGGUCAUAGGCUAUUUUAUCCUGGAGAGUAGGCAGCAAUACAACCUUGCUAGACCGAGACAUUGUCUUUGAGGGGCGAAAUCUACUCUUAAGGACAGUCAUGCCUCAACUUAAAAUUAUUCUUCUACUCAAGUCUCAAUGGAGACCAACUUCUACAUCCCAAAAGAUAUGUAUUUUGCUGUAAUUUCAUUGAUUUUAUUUAUUCUAUGUAUUAUAUAUAUAAGUGUAAACUACAAUUUUCUAAUAUAUAUUUUUGUGAUGCUUUACAGAAAAAGUAGUAUUCAUAAACCAAAUUUUCCAACAGAGAUGACAUGUGGCGCACUUAUAGAGGUUGAAAAUCUUAUCUGAAAUCUGGGAUUUGAAUUUUAUAAUAAAUAUCGACACGUGGCAAUAGAGAAUCUUAUCCAAAACUUUUAUCUAAAAUUUGAGAUGUGAAUUUUAUAAUAAAUAUUGACACGUGACAACCGAAAAUCUUAUCCAAAUUAAUCAUUUAAGUAUAAAAUAAAAUAAAAAUGAAAGUAAAUAGUAAUUUCUUUUUGCCAUGACAAUAGGUAGAAACACAACUUGUCUUUUGCAAUGCUUUAAUGGAUCCUCUCCUCACGGAAGCAUUCUUUUGUAAGGCUGUAGUAUAUGGCAGCACAGUACGGUCGGAUAUUUUAUAGGUUCACUUUUGUUUGUUUGUUUUGUUCCUAGGUUCAAUAAGGCCAAUUUUGAUUUUUUAUAAAAUGUUUUCAAGGUCAAUAUUGAAGCUAAAACUUAACAUUAUACUUUCUUUUUUUUUAAACAAUAAAAUUCAUUGAUAAACAGUGUAAAUACCCAUAAUACAUACAGGAAGAAUAUAGCCCCAAAGGAGGUUUUUGCAAAACAGAAAAUCUAGAAAACAUGAACAAACAGGCACAAACAUUGCAAGAGAGUGAGUACAAAAAUGUACAACUUGAAGCCUACCUCAUUUGGAGUUAGAAAUGAGGAGGACCCAUAAAACCUGCAGCAAACCAGUACUUCAGGACAGGAAACACCACGAAGUGGAAGGCGUUACUACUCAGCAUCCAAUAGGACAUUCUAAUGAAUAUCACACACAGCAUCUCCAAAUCCCCACUCGAUCCAAAAGCACCAAUGAUUGUAGAUCCAACCAAAUCUAAAAGCUAUAUCUCCAAAAAGAGAGAUCUAAAAGCAAUCUAUCCCCAAAAAGAUGGUAAUCAACCCCGAGAAAACUAGGGAUACAAAACCUUGCAAAAGCAAGUAAUAGACAAAACCCAGCAUAAAGCCGGAAAGAAAAACUCUCCACAACAUAACCCGAGGAGCGGGGAGAAACCCGGGUUCUUCUUGUGCGCUUUUGCAUGCACUUACAAGAAGGUCCUUCUCUUGCUUGCAUUGGCUGGGCGUCAUGUCGCCUUCUGCCAUUGGAACCACCUCAACCAAAACACCAACCACCACCAAGAACAAGCAUACAACCACACCCAAUGAGCCUGCAGCCUUCAUGAUUUUUUUUUUUUGUUGUUGUUUUUUUGCUUCUUCUUUUCUUUGUUGCUUUUUGUGUGGCAAAACUACCCUGUUUUAUAGAUUGUGAAGAGGGUUAAAUUUGGGAGUAAACCCAACUGUUGCCCCACCAACAAUGCGAGAGACUCCUUGUCUAAUUGUUUGGGUAAAUAUCACAAAAAGAACUUGACUAAAAGGUCGCUAAACUCAAAGUCUAAUUGUUUGUGGAAAAGUAUCUCCAUUGGGAGUUCAACUUGACUAAAACGAAAAAUUAAAAGGAAA